GGGUAUAGCUCAGUGGUAGAGUGCAUGCCUAGCAUGCAUGAAGUCCUGGGUUCAACCCCCAGUAUUUCCA
rnacentral:tRNA from 1 species